rnacentral:rRNA from 2 species
ACGUGGGCAAUCUGCCCUGCACUCUGGGACAAGCCCUGGAAACGGGGUCUAAUACCGGAUACUCACUGCCUUGGGCAUCCUUGGCGGUGGAAAGCUCCGGCGGUGCAGGAUGAGCCCGCGGCCUAUCAGCUAGUUGGUGAGGUAAUGGCUCACCAAGGCGACGACGGGUAGCCGGCCUGAGAGGGCGACCGGCCACACUGGGACUGAGACACGGCCCAGACUCCUACGGGAGGCAGCAGUGGGGAAUAUUGCACAAUGGGCGAAAGCCUGAUGCAGCGACGCCGCGUGAGGGAUGACGGCCUUCGGGUUGUAAACCUCUUUCAGCAGGGAAGAAGCGAGAGUGACGGUACCUGCAGAAGAAGCGCCGGCUAACUACGUGCCAGCAGCCGCGGUAAUACGUAGGGCGCAAGCGUUGUCCGGAAUUAUUGGGCGUAAAGAGCUCGUAGGCGGCUUGUCACGUCGGUUGUGAAAGCCCGGGGCUUAACCCCGGGUCUGCAGUCGAUACGGGCAGGCUAGAGUUCGGUAGGGGAGAUCGGAAUUCCUGGUGUAGCGGUGAAAUGCGCAGAUAUCAGGAGGAACACCGGUGGCGAAGGCGGAUCUCUGGGCCGAUACUGACGCUGAGGAGCGAAAGCGUGGGGAGCGAACAGGAUUAGAUACCCUGGUAGUCCACGCCGUAAACGGUGGGCACUAGGUGUGGGCAACAUUCCACGUUGUCCGUGCC